rnacentral:rRNA from 1 species
CCUACGGGUGGCAGCAGUGAGGAAUAUUGGUCAAUGGACGCAAGCCUGAACCAGCCAAGCCGCGUGAAGGAUGACGGCUCUAUGAGUUGUAAACCUCUUUUGUACGAGGGUAAACCCCGAUACGUGUAUCGGGUUGAAAGUACCGUACGAAUAAGGAUCGGCAAACCCCGUGCCAGCAGCCGCGGUAAUACGGAGGAUCCGAGCGUUAUCCGGAUUUAUUGGGUUUAAAGGGUGCGUAGGCGGUUUGAUAAGUUAGGGGUGAAAUGUCGGGGCUCAACCCCGAAACUGCCUCUAAUACUGUUGGACUAGAGAAUAGUUGCGGUAGGCGGAAUGUAUGGUGUAGCGGUGAAAUGCUUAGAGAUCAUACAGAACACCGAUUGCGAAGGCAGCUUACCAAACUAUAUCUGACGUUGAGGCACGAAAGCGUGGGUAGCAAACAGGAUUAGAUACCCCUGUAGUC